CGAAAAGGUAAACACUUUGCAAAAGAGAUCGAAAAAAGAAUGAGUUGACAAUAAAGGUCUGUUUCUUUUAGUUUCUGAUAUGUUUUAGGAAAAAGAAACCAAGAAAGAAGCUUUCAGGAAUUAUUUAGAGUUCGGUGGAGUUAGGGGCUUUUAGGAAGUAUUUGUUAUUGAUUCUCUCACCAAAGAAUGACAAGUCUUCCUUCCUGUACUUUGUUUCUAACCAAUAUGUACCCAGAUUCAUUCAGCAAAAUCUAGGAGGUCUUUCAGUUUCUGAUUACGAGAAGCUUCAAGCUGAGAAGUCUAAUCUUCAAAUAAAGUAUAUGAGCUAUUUGCUAAACAUCAAGAAACGUUGAGAGAGGUAUAUCCAAAAGUAUUCAGACUUCAUGUGAAUUAUUCUUCUGCUUCUUGAUGGGAAGAAUUCUGUAAUCCACACUUUCAUCCCUGCAUUCAAUGAUUUAAAACCAACCAAUA